GACGAACGCUGGCGGCGUGCUUAACACAUGCAAGUCGAACGGAAAGGCCCUGCUUUUGUGGGGUGCUCGAGUGGCGAACGGGUGAGUAACACGUGAGUAACCUGCCCUUGACUUUGGGAUAACUUCAGGAAACUGGGGCUAAUACCGGAUAGGAGCUCCUGCUGCAUGGUGGGGGUUGGAAAGUUUCGGCUGUUGGGGAUGGACUCGCGGCUUAUCAGCUUGUUGGUGGGGUAGUGGCUUACCAAGGCUUUGACGGGUAGCCGGCCUGAGAGGGUGACCGGCCACAUUGGGACUAAGAUACGGCCCAGAAGCCAACGGGAGGCAGCAGUGGGGAAUAUUGCACAAUGGGGGGAAGCCUGAUGCAGCAACGCCGCGUGCGGGAUGACGGCCUUCGGGUUGUAAACCGCUUUCGCCGGUGACGAAGCGUGAGUGACGGUAAUGGGUAAAGAAGCACCGGCUAACUACGUG
rnacentral:rRNA from 1 species